rnacentral:misc_RNA from 1 species
CUCUCUCUCUCUCUCUUUUCCCUAGUUAUUGUGCUGGAAUAUUUUGAUGUGUUGCUUUCAUGUGUUGCCUUACAAUUAAGAACCUAUGAUGAAAAGUAUACUUCUUCACUUAUAUGGAAAGAGAAUACGUCUGCAAAACAAAUCAUACUGACCUGGCUUGGUUAUCAACAGAUUGUGAACUAUAAUUUGUAAAGUGACAUUAUGGAAUUUGAAAUUGUAAGCAUUUAAGAUUUGUCAACCAUAAGUUUUUAAUGUUAUCACCUAACAAUUGUUUGUCAUGUGUUGCAGCAGAAUACCUUCUGCCCUGGGAAUUUAGUUAUUGUCAAUUUGUCAUUGACGUGAUUUUGUGCCAUAUUUCAUUUCUUUUUCUGCAAUGAUUGA